rnacentral:rRNA from 1 species
GAUGAACGCUGGCGGCGUGCCUAAUACAUGCAAGUCGAGCGAACUGAUUAGAAGCUUGCUUCUACGACGUUAGCGGCGGACGGGUGAGUAACACGUGGGCAACCUGCCUGUAAGACUGGGAUAACUUCGGGAAACCGAAGCUAAUACCGGAUAGGAUCUUCUCCUUCGUGGGAGACGAUUGAAAGAUGGUUUCGGCUAUCACUUACAGAUGGGCCCGCGGUGCAUUAGCUAGUUGGUGAGGUAACGGCUCUCCAAGGCAACGAUGCAUAGCCGACCUGAGAGGGUGAUCGGCCACACUGGGACUGAGACACGGCCCAGACUCCUACGGGAGGCAGCAGUAGGGAAUCUUCCGCAAUGGACGAAAGUCUGACGGAGCAACGCCGCGUGAGUGAUGAAGGCUUUCGGGUCGUAAAACUCUGUUGUUAGGGAAGAACAAGUACGAGAGUAACUGCUCGUACCUUGACGGUACCUAACCAGAAAGCCACGGCUAACUACGUGCCAGCCGCCGCCGUAACAC